AAUGCCUGCCUGCAGAAAAAUGCACUGAGCCUUUGGGCUAACAGAACAUUCCACUUGCCCAGCCUGAAACCACUGGAUGAAAAUUACUAAAGGGGAUGCACUAUUAUCUACCCAGUGGCACUAGAGACCUAGUAGACCCUGGAUGGGUCAGGAUCAGGAGCAUUGUAUGCCUCUCAGGAGAAGAUCACUCUGGGCUGGGAGGUUACCAUGGCAGGCAGUGGCAAUGCAGCUGGGCUGGCAGGUGACCAGGACAUCGCAGCUGUUUCUGUGCUGCCAUACUGGACAGGCUGGAACUCCAGUGUGAACUCAAGGCAAAGGGACUGUGACCUGUGGAUGAGUCCACAUGGAAGCAGGACACCCCGAAGCAUCCGUGGCCAUGGAUAAGUCCACACCAAAGCAGGUCCACUGUAGAUGAAUUGUAGAGGAAUUAUAGAGGAAUGAAGCUGGGUUAAUUAACAUUGGUAAUAUACAGCUGUGGGCUGGCUUCAGGGGCGGCGGGUUGGCCCAUGUGGAUAAUGUGCAGCUGUGGCUGGUUCUGUUAAGGGGUUACAUAGCUCUAAGGGGUAUGGAAGAGGUGAAGAGAGACUUGGAAGAAGCAGAGGGAGAAGAUAGAGUAUCCUGCAUGCAGGAGAGACAGGGAUAACCCCUGGGGGAAGAAGGGUGCCUGGAUGAGGAGAGGCUGGCUGGAAGAGGAGUCUGGAGAAGAAAGAAUACAGAUGCAGCAGAGGCAAGAAGCAGGGUGGACUGACCUGAAGAGGAUUAAGAAACAGCACGGACAGUAGAUGAACUUCUGAAACCCUGUGGGGGAUUAGUGGUUGUGCCGGGGCAAGGUCUGAGAACUACUAAUUGAAGUUAACCUGGUAUGGGGUGGUAAAAGCCUUGUUGCAGCUGGCUAGUUUUGAGAGUGCUGCGACAGUCCACAUCAGUGUGUUUGUAGCCAGUUACGUCUGUGCCGCAGCAGGUAUACCUCUGAAGGGACUGUGGCCCAAGGAUCAGUCCGCACGGGAGCAAAUACACCUCAAAGCAUCUGUGGCUGUGCGUGAGUCUAUGCUGCAGCAGGUAUACCCCUGGAGAGACUGUGGCUCACAGAUAAGGCUCCACUUGGAGCACAUACAACUCUAAGGGGUUGCAGUCUGUGGAUAAGCCCAAGCUGGAGCAGGGACAAGGGGAGAAGUUCAUUGCAAAGUUAAAUGUGGUGGUCUGGUUCAAAGGGAGAUUGUAAUGGAAAUACCUUUAAAUUGCUGUAACCCAUUAUUUGAGCUACAAUAUUUGACUUGUAGGAACCACCUGAACCAAUAGAGGACAAGUCUUACAAGAAGCAGCGCAAGUGCAGCAGUGACCUGACCUGAGCUGUCUUUGGUGCCCACAUUUACACUGAGCCAAGGCCUUUCCUGCCUCUCAC